rnacentral:lncRNA from 10 species
AUAGAUUAUACAUGAAGACAUUUAUUUAUGUGUAGUAUAUAUAGAGAUUUAUCUAUGCAUUAAUCAUUUUUGCCAUGCUAUCUAUGCAGGGGAAAAUAAAACAUUAUGCCAGCAUUCAAGUUUUCAUUUCAAGAGAAAGAAAGAAAGAAAGAAGAAAAGAAAGAAAGGAGAAAGAAAGAAAGAGAAAGAAAGAGAAGAGAAGAGAAGGAAAGAAAGAAGGAAGGAAAGAGAGAAACUUCCAAUGCAGAGCUUUACAUGAUAGAUUUCAAAAUUCAACAUUACACAGUUUUUUCUUUACUUUGUAGUUCCAAGGAAACAGGACUCUGUAUGAGGCUUGCUGUUAAGCCCUUUAUAGACAGGUCUGCUUUUCUUGGAGCCAAUAAAACACUACAAAUUUAAUGUUACCCAAACUCCACCCUUCUCCCAAAUCAUGAAAUAACUUCAUCUCUUCUUUUGGUUGAUUAGAUGCCUCUUGGUUCUCCUAGGGUGCAUUAUCACUUAUGAAAACAAGUCAAGAAAUCUAUUGUGUUCGAC